rnacentral:rRNA from 1 species
ACGCACGCUGGCGGCGUGCUUAACACCUGCAAGUCGAACGGAAAGGCCCUGCUUUUGUGGGGUGCUCGAGUGGCGAACGGGUGAGUAACACGUGAGUAACCUGCCCUUGACUUUGGGAUAACUUCAGGAAACUGGGGCUAAUACCGGAUAGGAGCUCCUGCUGCAUGGUGGGGGUUGGAAAGUUUCGGCGGUUGGGGAUGGACUCGCGGCUUAUCAGCUUGUUGGUGGGGUAGUGGCUUACCAAGGCUUUGACGGGUAGCCGGCCUGAGAGGGUGACCGGCCACAUUGGGACUGAGAUACGGCCCAGACUGCUACGGGAGGCAGCAGUGGGGAAUAUUGCACAAUGGGCGGAAGCCUGAUGCAGCAACGCCGCGUGCGGGAUGACGGCCUUCGGGUUGUAAACCGCUUUCGCCUGUGACGAAGCGUGAGGGACGGUAAUGGGUAAAGAAGCACCGGCUAACUACGU